UUGUGUGUUAGUGGAAGCGUCUGGAAAGUCGCAGGGUACAGGGUGAUACUCCCGUACACAAAAGCACACAUGCUGUGAGCUCGAUGAGUAAGGCGGGACACGUGGUAUCCUGUCUGAAUAUGGGGGGACCAUCCUCCAAGGCUAAAUACUCCUGACUGACCGAUAGUGAACCAGUACCGUGAGGGAAAGGCGAAAAGAACCCCGGCGAGGGGAGUGAAACAGAACCUGAAACCGUGUACGUACAAGCAGUGGGAGCCUU
rnacentral:rRNA from 1 species